CCUACGGGUGGCUGCAGUGGGGAAUAUUGCACAAUGGGGGAAACCCUGAUGCAGCGACGCCGCGUGAGUGAAGAAGUAUUUCGGUAUGUAAAGCUCUGUCAGCAGGGAAGAAAAUGACGGUACCUGACCAAGAAGCCCCGGCUAACUACGUGCCAGCAGCUGCGGUAAUACGUAGGGGGCAAGCGUUAUCCGGAUUUACUGGGUGUAAAGGGAGCGUAGACGGCAGGGCAAGUCUGGAGUGAAAGGCGGGGGCUCAACCCCCGGACUGCUCUGGAAACUGCCAGGCUGGAGUGCGGGAGAGGCAAUCGGAAUUCCGUGUGUAGCGGUGAAAUGCGUAGAUAUACGGAGGAACACCAGUGGCGAAGGCGGAUUGCUGGACAGUAACUGACGCUGAGGCGCGAAAGCGUGGGGAGCAAACAGGAUUAGAUACCCCAGUAGUC
rnacentral:rRNA from 1 species